UACGUAGGUGGCAAGCGUUGUCCGGAAUUAUUGGGCGUAAAGCGCGUGCAGGCGGUUUUUUAAGGCUGAUGUGAAAUCCCUCGGCUCAACCAAGGAAGUGCAUCCGAAACUGCUGAGCUUGAGUACUUAAGAGGAUCGCGGAAUUCCCGGUGUAGAGGUGAAAUUCGUAGAUAUCGGGAGGAACACCAGUGGCGAAGGCGGCGAUCUGGGCAGAUACUGACGCUGAGGUGCGAAAGCGUGGGGAGCAAACAGG
rnacentral:rRNA from 1 species